AGAGUUUCCAGUGCGCCUUCUUAGGGUUCACCCGUGUACCUGCUUGUAACUCUUCACCCCCACACGGUUUCAAACUAAGCUGGCUACACAGUGCACAGUGCACCUUCCUUGGCAAGGGAAUAAAAACAAGCUGCCUAAAUCAGAUGGGAGAAGAGACAACCGUAUUUGGUCUGUCCAUGGGAGGAACAUGCCAGAAGCCUACCUGCUCUUGGAGAUAGCACUUCAGAGUCCUCCUUACCAUUUUGAUAACUACCAAGAAGAAGGAUAGUAAUACGAAAAUGUUACUUCUCCCAGAGAAAAUGCCAGGAGUAGGCCUGGCCUUGCAGCCUGGCCACCCCCACCAAACCCCCUCUUCCUAGCUUCAGCAUUAAAGGUUUCUCUGUGGAAGUUGGAUGGUCAAUCAGUCCCACUGAGACUAUUCAAAACUGCCUGCCUGAGCUGACUGAAAUAGAAUGUGAUCUCAAAUAAGUCUCAGCAACCAGCCUGCUCCAUUGUCAUGAACACAAGGUGAAGAUGUCCAAGGUUGCUCUGCAAAAAAGGAACCAAGACAGGGCUAACCACAUCAGGGAGGUAUUUGUUUCAUCUCCUGAUGUUAAAGUUCUUUGUAUAAACUGCUCUGAUCACAGAUGAUUUAUCAAAAGCCACAUAGAAGAGUAACAAGAGCCAAGGGCACUGAGGUCCCUCCACAGCCCACAGGAGAGACUUUGGGGGUCUAAGUGAGUUUGAGAACUUUCCACAGAGUUGGCAGAUGCCAGACUUGGGUCCCAGAGGGGUCUGGGCCAGGGACAGUCCAGCCAGAAAGACAGAAUUAAAACAUGGCAAGGUCUUUGUCAAAGGCACGCUAAUAGCUCCCACCUA
rnacentral:lncRNA from 1 species